ensembl:lncRNA
CAGCAGUCUGAUGACUUGGGGGUAGAAGCUGUUUAGCAGUCUGAUGGGUUGGGGAUAGAAGCUGUUCAGCAGUCUGAUGGCUUCGGGAUAGAAGCUGUUCAGCAGUCUGAUGGCUUGGGGGUAGAAGCUGUUCAGCAGUCUGAUGGCUUUGGGGUAGAAGCUGUUCAGCAGUCUGAUGGCUUGGGGGUAGAAGCUGUUCAGGAGCCUGUUGGUAUCAGACUUGGUGCUCCGGUACCUCUUGCCAUUCGGUAGCAGAGAGAACAGUUGCUUGAGUCUUAGACAUAUUUCCAUGUCUUCCUUUCCCACCGUUUUGAUAUGGAGGUACUGAAUGGAAAGGAACUCGACCCCAGUGCUGUACUGGGCUGUCCGCACCACCAUCUGUAGCGCCAUGCGGUCGACAGUGAUGCACUUACCGUACCAAGCAGUGAUGCAGUCAGUCAAGAUGCUCUCAAUGAUGCAGCUGGAUACAUUUUUUUGAGGAUCUGAAACCAAAUCUUUUCAAAAUUGGGAACAACAACAAUGGGAAGAACAUUUUCUUUGGGAACAGUAGAAACAGAAAGGUGUCUGGGGGGUGAAUGGGAGGGAGUCUGCCAGGAAGGACAGCAGUCUGCCAGGAAGGACAGCAGUCUGCCAGGAAGGACAGCAGUCUGCCAGGAAGGACAGCAGUCUGCCAGGAAGGACAGCGGUCUGCCAGGAAGGACAGCGGUCUGUCAGGAAGGACAGAGGUCUGCCAGGAAGGACAGCGGUCUGCCAGGAAGGACAGGAGUCUGUCAGGACUUGAGGCUGCCAGGACAGGAGUCUCCUGAUGAAGAAGGAGCCUCACCUAUGACCUUACCUACACCCUGACACUGGCCUCGCCUGCUGCACAGAUAUAUACCCCUCUUUAUCCUGUCUACCCCCUGACCCUACCUAACCCCUGACCCUGCCCACCCCCUGACUCUGCCUACCCACUUACCCUACCCACUUACCCUACCUAACCC